rnacentral:lncRNA from 1 species
UUUUUUCGGUAGUGUAUGGGAUUUGAACCUCAAACCUUAUGUAUAUUAUACAUUAUAUAUUCUUAUCAACUAAAUUAAACUCAUAAAAUAAAUUAAUUCUUUAACCAAUGCCAAAAUAUCACGUGUACAUGAGGUAACAUUUCUUCACAAAGCAAACGGAAGAGAACAAAAGCAAAAUUGAAGAAAAUAAUUAAAAUCAAAAGCAACACUUAUUUUGGACUAAGGGUGUAGUGUGUACAUCCGUGAAUAUUUCCUCUUACUCGGUUAUUUAUCUAUUUAA